rnacentral:lncRNA from 1 species
GUGAGAAAUACAUUUCUGUUCAUUAUGAAUUACCUAGUCCCAGGCAUUCUGCUGGAGCAGCACAAAACAGGCUAAGUCAGAGCCAUAUCUUCAAAAACUUCCCAAAGAAUAUUCAAGGGAAAAAAUAAUUUUAAAAGAUUAUAAAAUGAGGCUGGGUGUGGUGGCUCAUGCCUGUGAGCCCGGUGCUUUGGGAGGCGAAGGAGGGCAGACUGCUUGAGCCCAGGAGUUCGAGACCAGCCUGGGCAACAUGGCAAAACUCUGUCUCUACAAAAAAUACAAAAAAAAUUAGCUGAGGGUGGUGGUGUGCACCUGUAGUUACAGCUAACUUGGGAGGCUGAGGUGUGAGGAUCACCUGAGCCUGGGAGCUGAAGGCUGCAGUGAGCUGUCAUCCCACCACUGCACUCCAGCCUGGGUGACAGAGUGAGACUCCAUCUCAAAAACAAACAAACAAAAUAAACAUUAUAAGAUGAUGUAACAAUGACAAUGUUGAUAAAACGGGGUACAGAAUUGACGGCAAACAACACAUGUUUGAGUCAGGAACAGGAGCAGACAGAAGGAACAUCUUGGGGCUGAGACAGGUAGUGUGAGCUCCUGAGGAAAGCCAGUGGGAGAAGUGAGCUGGGACUGUGACUGUCCAGUGGGCCCCAUGGACCCUACAGCAUGUCGACCCUCAAGUGAGGAGAGGUGUUCCGAAAUCUCCUAUGGCAGGUGGACUGACCCUUAGGACGAGACAGUGAGUCUUCAUCCUAGACUGACAACCCUCUCCUCCUGUUGAGGCCACAGGGAGAGACAGCUCCCCUCUUUACACCUGGGACUGUGUCUCCUCUACGUUGUUGAUUCUUGUGUUCACAUCAACUGCCUUCAGUCUCAUUGUUCUCCUAUUGGGAAAGCGUGGGGCGUGGCCAUCAGUCUGGUUGUCAACACUGGGGCAGAGGAAGUUUCUUCUUGAAUCUGCCUUUGCCUCCAAUGCCUAAACCAUCUCCCACUCCAGAUUCUUUUUCUCCAUGGCUCUUUUCAGAUUUUCUUAGGCAAAAGUCAUCACAUCAUAUGAUGCCCACGAUUAUUUUGAGAUCCAAACCAAAUCAUGCUUAGCCUCCUCCUAGCUUACUGUGCUCACGUAGGGAAAUUGCUGCCAGGGCAGAGAUAGCUGCUUCAGACUCUGACUGUGCACUUUCUUGAUGCCGCUAUCCUAUGGCAAUAGCUCAGGACUUCAACAAACAGGUCAGUGACACUCCAGCCCUUUGCAGCUUCGAGCCACUGGGAGCUAGACCCCUGGCAUUGUUGUGGGGUGCCGCCCUUCCCUUCUGCCCUGAGUCUCCCCAGGAACUCUGUGAACUCACAGAUGGUCACUCCAUGAAUGUGUGUUCUUCAUGAGUGCUCUGAGUACUUGCGACUUUUGUUUUUGUUUUCAUCAGUGUGGGGAGCUGGCUGAAAGGACACUCUGACCUAUGGGAAGUCAUUACCUUUGGAGAUGGCUUCCAUGGCACUCUGAGUCACUCUCAUACCACACACGUGGAACCAUCCUGGGAUAAAUAAUUCUUAAAACCCUACCCCAUUUCCUGGCAGCGUGAAGCUCAUGGUGCGCGGGGGUUGUCCAGGAGCGAGGUGUUGCAAUACCAAGGGGGCAGGUUGAAGAAUGAACCACUGUGCCAGGGGAAGCUUGCAUGUGACCUCAUCAUGUCGAGGCUGAGUCUGCUUCUACAGGGAGAGGAGCCGGACCACAGACAAUGCUAGGGAGAGCAGCUGACCUGGGGGAGCUGGGGGAAGGUUGCCCUGGAAGUUGUGACAAACGCCAGUCAGAUUCUAGUGGGAAUGCUGUUUGCUGACUCCUUUGCCGAAACCCCAGCUGUGCUGGGAACUGACCUCAUUCAUGAAGUAAACAUUGAAUCAGAUACCAGCAGCCCUAACCCUGGUUGAGUGGAAAUAACAUGGACGUUUCCAUAAUUAUGAAGCUGCCAAUUGGAUUUGGCAAGAGAAUCUCCAAAUAUGUCAAUCGGAAUGAGUUCAUUACCUCUUCUUGCCAACUUAAUCAGAAGCCAAUUGCCUUGUUGCGGUUGAAAUUAUUUGUAUGAAAAUGCUUUACUUACAUUUUAGUUUUUAUAUUCCAAAUAAUGUACUGGAAAGCAGCGUAGUCUAGCAACUGGAAGACAAUAUUGGGAAUCCGUCGAUUGGCGCCCAGUCCUGGCUACAUCUGUGGCUCGCUGUGCCAGCAGUAACCGCACUCAGCCUCGUAAUCCUGUUAUUGGGAGGCGGGGGCUGGGCAGCGAGGUCCUGUCUCAUGACACGAUCUUGGUGAGAAAUCUUGGGGCCUGGUGUUUGUGUGUUCUGCCUCGUGGCCACAGACACUGACUGCAGGUUCACACGGUCCACUUGGGAUUACUUAGAGGCUGUGCACUCAAGUUACAGGUUCUUCAGGCUCUGGAUGUCCCUUCUCUCCUCACUCCUUCCUUUGCACGCAGUUCUUUCAGGAGAUGAAAGAGCUGUUUGUUACUCCUUAGUAGCUGAGACCACUGUUUGCAAUGCAGUUUCACAGUUUGGGGGAGAAAUCAUUUCCAAUUAUUCCUUUCUUAUCCUCAUUUAUUUACAGAAGCAGCAGAACAUUACCAUUCAGAGCCUGAACCAUGGAGUCAGACUGCCUGAGUUCAAACCCCAGCUCUGCCCUUUAGAAGAGGGGUGACCUGUCUAUGGCCAUUGCACCCUGAACGUGCCAGAUCUUGUCUCAUCUUGGAAGCUAAGCAGGGUUGGGCUUGGAGGGGAGGAGGGUGAACCUCAGUUCAGGUUACUUAGCCUCUCUCCUGUGCCUCCAUUUCCUCAUCUAUAAAAAAUGGAAUGAGGCCAGCACCUACGUCAGGGGUGUGUGAGAGGAAACAGUUCAUUUCUGCAAAGCACUGAGAACGUAGCAAGGGCUCAGUAAGGAUCUCCAGCCUUUGUAUUAGUCCAUCUGUGCUGCUCUAACAAAAUACCACAGACUGGGUCAUUUAUCAACAAUACAGGUUCACUUCUCAAGAGUUCUGGGAGAGUCCAAGAUGAAGGUGCUGGCAUUCGGUGUCUGGCGAGGGCCUUCUUGCUGCAUCCUCAGGUGGCAGAAAGCAGGAGGGCGAGGGGGCCAAACGCACUCCCUCAGGCUCCUUUAUAAAGGCCCCACCUCUCAAUGCCACUGCCAUGGGGAUCAGCUUCAACAGAACACCACCACUAAUGGGAAGACUGCCCCCUGACCGGCACAUGGCCUCAGCAUUCAUCCACAGAUGCUCCUCAAAUUGUUUUAAAAACAGCUUUUUUUAAAAGCUGUUUGUCUAUGAAGAUUAAAUGAGUUAAUAAUAUAAGCAAAGCACUUUGCAUGGCUACUGGGCACGGUGGUUCAUGCCUGUAAUUCCAGCACUUUGGGAGGCCGAAGCAGGUGGAUCACCUGAGGUCAGGAGUUCAAGACCAGCCUGAUCAACAUGGCGAAACCCUGUCUCUAUUAAAAAUACAAAAAAAAUAGCCGGGCAUGGUGGCACGUGCCUGUAAUCCCAGCUACUUGGGAGGCUAAGGCAGGAGAAUCGCUUGAACCUGGGAGGCAGAGGUUGCAGUGAGCCGAGACCUCGCCGUUGCACUCCAGCCUGGUUGACAGAGCAAGACUCUGUCUCAAAAAACAAAAAAACCCCAGCUUUUGUCCAGAGGUUGCUUUUUGUGGGUCUGUACGCUGAGGCCAAGUUCUAUGUAAGCAGAGCCCUCCCACCUCACCUCCAAACAAUGCCUCUAAACCAUCACAAUCUGAAAGGAAAAUAAAUCCCUUUCUUCAAUGGUGACCUGAAGCUAGCCAAGGACCGGGUGCUGGCAGGUGGCCUGCGAGACUGGGUCGGAUCCCGGGUUACUGUCUGAGGAGGGAUGCCGUGCUGUAAGGGUUGGGGAGCCAGUGUCUGGCUUCCUUGUCACCACAAGACCUGUGGUUUCCAGCUCUGUCUGCAUCCAGGUCCCACUAACCAACAGCAGGAGAGAAAACAGUUGUGCACACAGGCGGACGCGCACACGCGCACCUGGCCCCCCAGACGUGCACAGCCCUCAGAGGAAGUGGAGCACCAGAUGUUCUGGGUUUCCUGUUCGACGCUUCCACAGCUGGUCGAGUCUGUGGUUGUGGUUUGUCUGUCUCGGGCUCAUGUGAGAGACAAAAGCUGGGCUGACGGGAAACCUCUUCUCUCGGCCCCCACUCCCCAGCUCUGACUGAUUAGGAAACCUGGCAGGUCAGAAAUUUCCUGAAACACCCAGAGCUGGAUUCUCCCAAGAAGAAGCUGAACCCCCAACUCCCAUCCCUGAGGAGCAGCCCCUGGGCUGAUGAUCAGGACUUACAGAACCUGGGGCGAUGGAAACCUCUACAAAUAUCCCAUUUAGAAAGACCGCCAGCCCUGCCAACAGAAUGAAACGGAGGCCAGGUUGCUAUGGUCUCUACUCCAAUGCCUGACAUUGAGCCGCUGCUGCAAAACACUCAGCACAUGAAGGAAUGAAUGAGGAACAGAGAACUUCACCUUUGGGGGUUGGGUGUACAAGCCCCAACUGGGCCCCAAGUCCCAUAAAUAGCUUUGGAUUCCAACAUACAAGCAUUUGACGCAGCGAGGUGCUGCCGACUUGCUCUGUGACUUGGAGCAAGUCAUUUAGCCUCUCUGGGCCUGGUGUCCUCAUCUGCAGAAUGGAGAUGAUAAUAUCUACUUCACAAAGGUGUGAAGGCCCUGUGAGACACCGCAUGUGGAUUUCCUCGACAUUGUUUGCCCAUCGUAACUGCUCCAGAGAGGCUGGGCUCCCUUUUCUCGUUGCAACACUGCUGUUUAUUUCAGGAGAUACUCUAAAAGGGAAGCAAGCUAAAACAAAGAACAACCAAAAACACUGAUCCCGGGACAACUGCCCGGCAGGACAGCAGAGCAAGGGUACUUGGUGCUCUUCGUUGGGGGGAUGUUGGGAGAAGGGGCUGGAGCCAUCCCAGGGUCUCCAGGCUCUGGAAGGGAGCACCCCAUGUCCUCCUCUGGGUGUGGAAUAGGGUGAGUGUCUUAGGGGUGGAGAGAGAACAGGCAGAGUGUGCUCUCACCCCUUAGCUCUGUAGUGAUUUUAAUGAUUAAGGCUACUGUUCGGUCUGCAUUUGGACCUGAGCAACAGGGACCCCUGCCCAGAGGUCCAUCCUUCAGCAGCGUGCACUGCAUCCCCCUCCACUGCAGCUGACUCUAUGAGAUGAAGCAUCUGUCGCUCAGUGUAGCCAUCAGGUCCACUGCCCCUGAAAUAUGACUGACUAGGUUCAAAUGUUGACUCUGACACUUAGAAGCUGUGCCACCUUGGGGCAAGUUACUUCAUCUCUCUGUGCCUUACUUUCUUCCUUUAUAAAAUGGGUAAAAUAAUAACCACACCAUCGGUUGUCUAUGAAGAUUAAAUGAGUUGAUAAUAUAUGCAAAGCACUUAGCAUGGCUACUGGCACAAGGGUCAGUAAACGUUAACUGUUCCACACAUGAAUGUGUUUGAUUCUUAUAAUGCCCCAUGGGUAGAUUCUGUUAUUAGCUCUGUUUUACACAUGAGAAAACUUAGGCACAGGAGGUAAAGUAACAUUUGCAAGGUCACACCGUUAAGUAGCAAGGCUGAGGCUUUACUCCAGUUCUUUUUUUUUUUUUUUUUUUUGAGGCAUCUCACCAGGCUGGAGUGCAGUGGCACAAUCUCAGCUCACUGCAACCUCUGCCUCCCGGGCUCAAGCAAUUCUCCUGCCUCAGCCUCCCGAGUAGCUGGGAUUACAGGUGUGCACCACCAUGCCCGGCUAAUUUUUGUAUUUUUAGUAGAUACGGAGUUUCGUCAUGUUGGCCAGGCUGGUCUCGAACUCCUGACCUCAGG